GAGGAGAGCAGAGACCACUGGAGUGCCUAUAAAUGAGAUUCAAUUCCAUACUGCAAAUUAUAUAAAAACAAUUAUACUCGAUUUUGGUAUUGAAUGGGGUUAACAUUCAAGAUGUGCUGACAUCAUGUAUAAUAAUGUAGUAUGAACAAUGCCAGACCUGCCAAACUUUGGAGUCAGAUUUAAGAAUAGUCACUCCCUAACUGAAAUAGUUUACUCAAGACCACCAUAACAGUGUUUUUGUUUGUU